AUGAUAACAGUUAUUUGGACAGUAACACGCCCAAGACAAAUCCAAGAGAGGAACACAAACAAAAUCAAAUGGAGAGAUUUGACUUUACCCAAGUUCUUCUCAACUAGAAGUUUCUAAAGGUGUUUUGUGUGGAAUGCUGUGCUAUGUGAAGUUUUCAGCUAUUCAACCGCAAGGACAUCAAACUGUUGGGAGAGAUUCAAAGAAGGAUAAUCAAACUUGGAUGGAGCUGACUUACAGAAAUGGGCUAACUCCAGAAAGAAUGCCAUUGAAUCCAGAGAGAGGUGCGUUGAAUCAGCCUUUGCUGACGAAGCCUGUUCACUGUACUGCUCAGACCUCUCCAUCCUGGUGGCAAGGGCUUAGGCCAUUAUUCAUGGUCUGACUGGUCUCAACGUGGCCAUCUUGCCUUUGAAAAAGGGUAGACACAGAGCAUGUUCAGACAGAGCCAUACUGUGUGAUUUCUUCAAAGAGAGCUUAACUGCAGAAUUUGGAUUAAUAAAUGACAUAACUGCUUCAGGGCAACAGACCUUCACUGCAGCUGCUUAGCCCAGGAAGCGGCAAGGUCAGUACAAGGAGAGCCACAGGCCUGGGGAGAUGCAUGCCUUCCUUCCUGGCCAGCUGGAUCUCACUACUUAGCCCAGAUCGCCUGCAAGAAGGACAAAGUCAAGCACUUCACAACCCUGUCAGUUGCAGUCCUGAAGAAGGUGGCCAGGAGCUCUAGAAGUAUUCAAAGCCCCAGGGAUUUUUGGUUUUUAUGUAUACAUUUCUCUUUACAUAUUUGUUCCUUGACAUCCAAUCAGCCUUGCAGGGAGGAUAUAAUAGCCAGAAAAAUAAGCAAACAGAAGAUUCCAGGUUCUACUUUAUGCCAAUUUUUCUCAAAUAUCUGAGUCACUAGAAAAAGAUCUAUUUGAAAAUCUUUCUCUGAGCAGUUUCUGUCUUGAGCCCCGUUGUUUGAGGAGCCUGUUGGAUUUUUAAAUGUAUUAGUGUUUCCAUACUUCAUUCAUUGGCAUAUAUGUAUAUUCUCUAUACUUUACAAUUACAAGUAAACUCUUGAUAAUAAAAAGUAACUGUCA